rnacentral:sRNA from 1 species
UUAAGAAACCGGGUCGCUACCGGUAAGUCGUCGGACUGAUGUUCCCUGAGUAAGGAAUUGCGUUAAUAAUCUUUGCGUUUAUUGAUGCCCUCUUACAUCACAGCAGAAACGGCGCACC